GAGUUUGAUCUUGGCUCAGAUUGAACGUUGGCGGCAGGCCUAAAACAUGCAAGUCGAACGGUAACAGCGGAAGCUUGCUUCCGGCUGACGAGUGGCGGACGGGUGAGUAACACGUAGGAAUCUACCUAGUAGUGGGGGACAACCCGGGGAAACCCGGGCUAAUACCGCAUACGCUCUACGGAGGAAAGCAGGGGAUCUUCGGACCUUGCGCUAUUGGAGGAGCCUGCGUCGGAUUAGCUAGUUGGUGGGGUAAAGGCCUACCAAGGCGACGAUCCGUAGCUGGUCUGAGAGGACGAUCAGCCACACUGGAACUGAGACACGGUCCAGACUCCUACGGGAGGCAGCAGUUAGGAAUCUUGGGCAAUGGGCGCAAGCCUGACCCAGCCAUGCCGCGUGUGUGAAGAAGGCCUU
rnacentral:rRNA from 1 species